CUGUGGAUGACACUGAUGGAGAGCUGUGUCAGUUACAUGAGGAGUUAGAGAGGCUGACUGAGGUUCUGAACGAGAAAGAGGAGCACAUUGAUCAGUUAAACUGCCAGGUAACAGAUUUGAGGAGACAGCUACAGAAGUCCAGAGAACAUCAGGCCAACCAUGCCAGUGAUCGGGAGAGAACUGAUGCUCCUAAAGCACAGAAGGUUGACUCAGAUCAGGACCAAUCCAGACUCAGCAGUGCCAAAUCUGACAGGAAACCAGUCCCACAAACAAUGUCCUCUCCAAC